AUAAACGUUUUGAACAGCAGAGUAAAAGUAGUUGCGAUCCCUAGAGAAUCUUUGGUUGGUGCAAAAAGAUGGCGCAGGUACUUUGAAGAUGGGUUGGAAAUAAUGGUAAUGGUGUCACAGCCAUUAACGGAGUAGCGAACGUUAUCAUCGCUGGGUUAUAGAUUAGUAACUCAAUGAGGUUAGGAUUGUGAGGUCCUAACGAAUAAAGGUGGUAACACGUUCACUCGUCCUUUUU
rnacentral:ncRNA from 1 species